UAUUGGGUCUGGCUGAGGUGGAGUUAAUUUUCUCCACAGCAGCCUUCAUAGUGAUGUGGUUUGUAUUGGUAGCUAGAAAGGUGUUCAUAACACACCAGUGUUGUGGCUACUGCUGAGCAGCACUCCACAGCAUCAAGGCUGUCUUUCCACCAUUCCCCCCUCACCAGUAGGCUGGGUGUGGGCAAGAUCUUGGGAGAGGACACAGCCAGGACAGCUGACCCCAACUGACCAAAGGGAUAUUCCAUACCAUAUGACAUCUGCUCAGCAACAGAAGCUAAGAGAAAGGAGGAGAAGGGAGGUGGCAUUCAAGGGAGCAUAUCAAGCUGGAAAUAGCUCAUGUGGUAGCUCUUGGGCCUGACCAGACAGGACCUGCUGUGCAAAAUGUACUCUACACUCCAGCUGGGGAACACGGUCUCACCUGGAGCCUCUGGCAGAAAACAUCAGGAGAAACCCAAGGCUGAUCAUCAUGGUUUUGGAGCUGGGAGGAUCGAGGAUCAGAAGCCCACUACCCCCCAACUGAAAAAGAGAUACUAGUAGCAUAUAAGGGGGCUUGAGCUGCUUCAGAAGUCAUUGGUACAGAAGCAUAUUUCCUCUUGGCACUGCGAUUGCUGGUGCUACACUGGCUGUUGAGAGGAAACAUCACCUUUACAAAUCAUGCAAUCAACGCUACAUGGAGUAAGUGGGUAGCACUGAUUGUGCAAUGAGCUCAACAGGGGAACCCAACCACCAGGAAUCCUGGAAGAGAUGGACUGGCCAGAAGGCAGAGAUUUUGGAGCAAUGCCUGAGGAGGAAACCAUUGAAAGUGGAAAGCUGCUGCUUGGAGUCCCACACGACAUAUCAUUGAAGCCACUGAAGGAGAAGACUUCAGGCAAGCCUGUGGGGAUAAUCCUUUUAUGCUGAAGCUUUGUCCAGACAGCUGCAUUUGCAACCUGGCUGAGGACUACUGUUUCUAUUUCGUAUUUGAAGAAGGGCUUGUGUGCUCAGAAACUCAUCAUUGUGCAGGGCAACACAGCAGAGGAAGUGCUUGAGAAAGAGGAAGAAAAUUUCAGAUUCUUCCAAAAGCUGCUAUAAAACAAAGCAGGAUCAAAGGACUUGCAUGAGAGAUCCAGUUAUGGGGAAUAAAAUCACAAGAUGGGCAUCGUUACAUCCCAAUAGAUAUGAUCAAUAAGAUAACAGUUAAGUUCCCACCAGUCAGCAAAAAAGAAACCCAAACUUUCCCAGGCAUUCUGGAGGAUGCAUAUUCCAGGUUACAGUCAGUUUGUGAGUCUUCUCUGUUGAGUGACCCAAAAGAACUCUUUUGACUGAGGCCCACUCUGCCCUCCCAGUGAGUAGGUUGGCAGUGUGCAGGAAGUUGGGAGGGGACACAACAAAGGGUGUUGACUCAAACUGACCAAAGAGAAAUUUCAUGCGAUAUAAAAUCAUGCUCAGCAAUAAAAAUAGAGAGGGAGAGGUGUUUUGGGGUGGGUGGCAUUGC